AAGCCCCGCGCGCCCCGCAGGCGACCGUCCCCGCUACCCCACCACCCCGCCACCCCACGGACGCCCGGCCCCGCACCGACCUGCUCUCUGCCGCUCGGCGUUCCCUCCGCGCACAGCCACUGGUGGCCCGGCCGGGCCGCGGUCACCUCCCCUCAGCGGCGGCGGGCGGGCGGGCCGAUCCGGGUGACUCCGCGCCGCCCCGCCUCCCUUAGCGCCGCUUCCGUCCGGUGGCCCCCGGCUCCGUUUCCCGCGCUCGCGCCCCCUGGCGGCCGCCUAGCCCGUCGCUCCGCCACGUCAGGGCUCGGGCUCCCAGGGCCUUUCAGGGAAACUGAGGCACGGACUGCGUGGGGGCGUUUAGCGACACACCUCGCUCAGGCUAGGAUCCAGAUCCCCACGCACUCGCGCUACCGCCAACCUAGAGAACUCAAAUUCUCCGCUGCGCGAAUUCUCUUACUCCGAGGCGGAGGCUAGCCUUGAACCUUCCAUCGUCCUUCACUCCUCCAAGUGCUGGAUUACAGGGGAACACCAUCAGGUUACUGCCCACUCCUCAUCGAUUUUUUUUUCUUUUCUCCCGAGCAAAGUCUCACAGGACAAUUUUGAGAAUUUAAAAGCAAGGAAUCACAGAAUACUAGAACCAAACGUCCCGGUUUCUGAAAAGUCCCGGAAGACUUCUGACUGUUAAAGAUCGCAAGUGCGUGGAGGAGCUGGUGCAAGCGCGGGGACCGACCUAGCAGAUUUGAGGAAUGCAGGAAUCAUAUAUCACUAUGCACACACAGCAGAGAUAAGGCUUUAUUUUAAAAUCUCAUCAGCUAGAUUGUUUCUUGACUCUUCAAAAAUCGUAGUAAACUAGACAUAGCAUAAAGUGUAUCGUUUGAACCAUUGUC
rnacentral:lncRNA from 1 species